rnacentral:lncRNA from 1 species
UUUUGGGUUAUGGCUGUCAAGAAGAAGGGAGUAGGUUUGGGGAUGGGCAAGUUAGCUUUGGCUAUUUAUCAUCUAAUGGAACCACAUAAACCGCCAAAAUAGAGUCGUGGCUUUACGUAUCUCGCCGGCGUUGAACCAGAUCGAGGGAAGAGGAAGAAGGACGAAGACCAAAGACCGCCGCUGAAGGAAGAAACCAGAAGCUUCGUCCUUCGCCGGCAACGAACCAGGUCGAAGAAGUCAAACCAUACCGUGAGGCCAGCCCUCCACCUGCAGCAAACCAGAACCAAAAGCAAAAACCAAAACCCAAAGAUCCAGCGGCCAACCACGGCGAAGUUUCGUCGAUCUCCGCAAACCUGUUGAGACCCACUGUGCAAACCAGAGAGCUUCUCUCUCACGCGUGAAGAGAAGAAGGAGAAGGGUG